UAUACACAAUGAAGUGGAGAUGUAUUCUUCUGGUACGACAUUUGAUUAAUACUAUCGUUUUAAUGAAUUCAUUAAUGAUCUACACACGUUUCGAUAUCAUUUUAUUGUACAGUACAGAUAAACGUUAUCUGCGUGUUAUACUUAGAACUGACUAUGCAUAUAUACACUGAUAAAAUAAUCCAUAACGUAGAUAGUUAUAAAACUGUAAGUUUUAUCCAAGAUAUCGCAUAAUAUUUAGGCAAUACUAGUAUCAAAAACGUAAACAACUUGUCUUUAAAAUAAUAAAGUCUAAUAACAUACAAGAAUGGUAGAAAAAUGUCAAUAGUGGGUUUGUAUAAAGUUUGUAUUAAGUUUAAGAUUGUUUUCUAGCACUCAUGACCAAUGUUUAAAAUGAAGCUGUAUUUACUUCCCGUCCUUUCAAAAGUUACAGCUGCGUAUUAAGUUUUGAGUAUUUUAUAUUCAUCAUGACAACCAAAUGACAAUUUAAUGCCCAACAGUCCACUCUUCUAAUGCCCGCGUCACACUGUCCCGAUUUUUACGCCGAUUGCAACACGAUUAUGGAAAUUUUCAAAAUCGGGACUGAUCGUAUCCAGAUCGGGCUAUUCGUAGUGCCAUCUUUAACCAUCGGCCACUUUUUCUAGCCUUCGGGGACAACUUCGGGAAGGGUUCUAAAUUUUUUAACAUGUUAAAAAAUCCCCGAAGGUGCGUCCGAUGUUGAGGGUUCGUAUUGAGUUCGUAUCACCAUCCUCACCAUCGUAAUGUCACCGGGAAUGCAUCUUUGAACAUCGUAUUGCAUUCGUGUUUCCAUCGUUUCCAUCGGGCAGUUUUGACAUGACGAUGUCUACACGAAUGAAUCACGAAGCUACCCGAAGGUCUUACGAUGGCAACACGACUUCGUGAAGACCUCGUAAUCCCGUCGUGUUGGCAUCGAAUAAAAGUACGAAGGCGACAAGAUGGAACUACGACGGCAAUAAAUCCAGCUAAAUGUAAUUAAGUUAAUUUUCGCGCUAAAAUACAUUUAAAGUGCCAUGCGCGAUAUGAACUGGUCUGUCUAAUACGACAGUUAAGAAAGACGUUUACAAAACAUGGAGCUCAUAUCAUAUGAUUCUAUGAGAACAAGAAAGGCGACAGCGUUGUUUCUAUUAAUUCAAAUGGAACAAGAAGAGCAGCUAUUACAGGCCCAGCAUUUACUUUUACAAGUAAAAUAUUAUUUUUUGUCAAUUUUUCAUAUCAAGUAACAUAAUGAAAAUCAUAAACGCGCCUCGUACACCAACACUGCAGGUACACGUAUAAAGGGAAAUCAACUUUUUCUUCAUUAUUCUGAUUUUUUAUGUAUCGUCUGAGUUGUUGUCACACGAAUGUUUACUCCAUAACCAUUUUGUUUUCUAUAUGUCAUAUUUUGCCGCAUUUGUUGCUUUCCCCACAUCUUUCCUUAAAUGUCUAUAUUAUUAUGAUAUUCUCCUGGAAAGAGCUCUUUUUGAAUAAAAGGGACCAACGAACACAUUACCUUACCUUUAAGAUAGAUCAGUAAACAUGGGCAUAAUUAUGGGUGAUUAUUCAGACUAGUGCACACAUUUUACAGUUCAAACAUGGCAAUGCCGAACGUGGCAUCCCCUCGUAUGUAACAUAUUGGGGACAAAUAUGGACACUAUAUAUGUAUUUGACACAUGCAGACAAUGGUAAAUUGAAUAUGCAUAUUUGAUAAACUAUUUUUUUAGAAAUCAAACAUAACAUUCAGUAACUGGAAAUAUCUUUGAUAUUGUCUUUAGAACCAGCAUGUAAAAAAUGAGCAACCAAUUUCCUGUGUAUUAUGCUAUUUCAAGUAGAAAAAACAAGUCCAUCUGCAUGACCUUGACCUUUGGCCUUGAACGUAAAAAAUGUCAGAUCAUUAAAAGGAGGAACAAUAUACCAAAUGUGGUUAAAAUCUCUUGAAGCAUAUUGGUUUUAGAGUGUCCACAAGGGUGAUAUUGCCUUGUAUUACAUCUGCCACUGUGACCUUGACCUUUGAACUUUAAUGUCAAUAGCGCUUAAGAUAUUCUCCUUCUCCCUGAUUCUGCUGGCAUUAUAUGCAGAGACUCAGAGUCAAGUUUUACCCUUCAAACCCACGGUCUUCCGUCUUAUGAUUAAACCAGAAAGUAAAUGUACAAUAUAAUAUAUAUUCAAUAUCGAUCAAACAAUUUAAAACGCGUGAUCCCUUCGGCAUAUAAUUUUUGAAAUACUAAGGCUUUUCUACCUCAGGCAUAGAUUACCUUAGCUGGAUUUGGCCAAACUCUUAGGAAUUUUGGUCCUCAAUGCUCUUCAUAAUUAAGGAAACUAAGACGUACAGCUAUGCUAUGACAGGUCAUAACAAGUUUUGCAUGAAUCAUUAACUUAUAUAAAUUCGGACUUGGGCUGUUGCAAUCAUGUUCCUGCAUUUUAAUUACUAAAACCAUUUGAAAGAAAGUUGUACAUAUUUAAACAUUGACUAGUAGAAAAUAUUCUCGAUUUACAUGUUUUAAUGAGCAUGUCGCCUAACACUCUAGUCCCACUGACCAAUGGCAUUUCAACACUAUAAACAUAAUAAUGGUGUGUAACUUAAUGCAGCAUAUAAUCCUUUUCAGUUUUUGUGUUAAUUUUUAAGAUAUUGCAUAGCGUAUCAGUAUUUUUACUGCAUUUUUUCUUAGUGUAUUUUUUUUUUUGGACAGACUGUGGUAUAUUGUGUUAGCUGUAUGUGCCCCCCGCCUGCGUUGAACACGUCGUACGCCACAAAGAAGUGCUCCAGUGAUCCUAGAUCGUAUCAUUGUCUAUGGGACGGCCUUAAAGAUGAAUUUAUUGACAUUUGUGUACCUCCAGAGUAUUACACACCUGGUAAAUAUAAUGUUUUGUUGUUGUUUAUGAACAGAAAAGAAAAAUAUCGCAUAAACUGUUCACGAAUAAUUUUGAGCGGUCAAAACGAAAUUGUAGCGGAAACUGAUUAUUCAAGAUUUACUAUAUCGCGUGACUGUUUUGGGGAUAAUCACACCAUCAAAAUUUUUUAUUAUCAUGCAGUUAGAUAGGUAACGCUAAUUUUGAUAAGGAAUACCACUGCCACGGUAGACGUUUGAAGGAUAUCUAAAAUGUCUAUUAUUGAAUUUGUGAAAAAAUUGCUUUUUAAUCGUGAUAAUAGAAAAAAGGAACUGUAUUUAAAGACUUACUAGUACCUUCGUCAAUUUUGGAUGUGAUUUUCGCAAAUAUCCGUUUUACUGACUCAGUUACAUGUCGCUAGUCAAACUGCGUUGGUGACCGUCAAAUUCCCAAUUAAAGGUGACAACUCUUCAAAUACAGAACAGUUGUUUGUUAAAUGCAAAAAUCUUUUUUAAAAUUUACAAG
rnacentral:lncRNA from 1 species